GUGAAAGAUAAGAAAAAUAUACUUGUACGAUGACUGAAAUUUACUUUGGAGGAUUGAUAUUUGUCAUUUCUGGAUCUGAGUUGUUUCUAGCGAUGGGCAGGAUAACCGCCGUUGUUCAUCAUUUGUGGAUACAAAAGUCGCUUCAAAGAAAACAUUUCGGUACAAUCAGCUAAAAGUGUAUUGUGCUAGUCCCAUUAUCAGUUCCAGAAUCGUGGCAGUCAGUGUUACAUCUAAAUCGGCAUUCACACUUUUAUAUUUUUUGGGACAGCUAAUAAAAUAAUUUAACUAUAUUAUAGUAUUUAUUGUUAUCGUGAAAAAGAAUAUUUCAAUGUAAUGUCAGUAAUGUAAUAUAAUUUAUUUGUGGAAAUAAAACUUGAUUCUGUUUAA
rnacentral:lncRNA from 1 species